UCCUGUUGCCUUGGUUAACUCCUUUCUUCUCACUGUGGAGAAACAGGAAGUUUGAUGGGGGUUUCCCAAGGCAGUAUGUGAGCUCUACUUCUUCUGGUCCUAGGAAGUACAGAUGUCAAGGAUAAACU
rfam:Procavia capensis cont1.242773, whole genome shotgun sequence.